rnacentral:rRNA from 1 species
CCCCGGGCUCAACCUGGGAACUGCGUUCUGAACUGGGUGACUAGAGUGUGUCAGAGGGAGGUAGAAUUNCACGUGUAGCAGUGAAAUGCGUAGAGAUGUGGAGGAAUACCGAUGGCGAAGGCAGCCUCCUGGGAUAACACUGACGUUCAUGCCCGAAAGCGUGGGUAGCAAACAGGAUUAGAUACCCUGGUAGUCCACGCCCUAAACGAUGUCGAUUAGCUGUUGGGCAGCAUGACUGCUUAGUAGCGAAGCUAACGCGUGAAAUCGACCGCCUGGGGAGUACGGUCGCAAGAUUAAAACUCAAAGGAAUUGACGGGGACCCGCACAAGCGGUGGAUGAUGUGGAUUAAUUCGAUGCAACGCGAAGAACCUUACCUGGUCUUGACGUGUGCGGAACCCUCCAGAGACGGAGGGGUGCCUUCGGGAGCCGUAACACAGGUGCUGCAUGGCUGUCGUCAGCUCGUGUCGUGAGAUGUUGGGUUAAGUCCCGCAACGAGCGCAACCCUUGUCAUUAGUUGCCAUCAUUAAGUUGGGCACUCUAAUGAGACUGCCGGUGACAAGCCGGAGGAAGGUGGGGAUGACGUCAAGUCCUCAUGGCCCUUAUGACCAGGGCUUCACACGUCAUACAAUGGUCGGUACAGAGGGUAGCCAAGCCGCGAGGUGGAGCCAAUCUCACAAAACCGAUCGUAGUCCGGAUUGCACUCUGCAACUCGAGUGCAUGAAGUCGGAAUCGCUAGUAAUCGCAGGUCAGCAUACUGCGGUGAAUACGUUCCCGGGUCUUGUACACACCGCCCGUCACACCAUGGGAGUGGGGGAUACCAGAAGUAGGUA